UACAGAGGGUGCGAGCGUUGUCCGGAAUCACUGGGCGUAAAGGGCGCGUAGGCGGCUUUUCAAGCGUGCGGUGAAAGCUCGGGGCUUAACUCCGAGUCUGCCGUGCGAACUGGGAGGCUUGAGUCUGGUAGAGGUCGAUGGAAUUCCGGGUGUAGCGGUGAAAUGCGCAGAUAUCAGGAGGAACACCGGUGGCGAAGGCGGUUCUCUGGGCAUUACCUGACGCUGGAGGAGCGAAAAGUGUGGGGGAGCGAA
rnacentral:rRNA from 1 species